rnacentral:tRNA from 1 species
GGGAAGGUAGCUCAGUGGUAGAGUGCUUGCCUUGCAUGUAUGUGGCCUGGGUUCAAUUCCUCAGCACCA